GCGAGGUGCAUGUGUAUCACAUGGUAGUGUGAUGACAUAUGCAAUUCACGUACUUAUACAUAUAAACUGUCAUAACAGGAACAGGAAGCACCAGAGAGACAUUCUGUAAUAAUCAAUAAACUAAUUGUUUGGAACCAAAUUAUCUUGCCUGGUUUGUCAGGGCUGGGUGUGUCUGUACCCAUGCCACCCCAGCCCCUGGCACCCUUUCUCUGCUACCUGUCCCAUACACCUCACCAUUCCCAACAUCUUUUGCUCCUGCCAGAUUUAAAAACUCGCUGUCUGCUCCACGUUGACAAAUACAGUACUGUGCAAAAGUCUUAGGCACACUACCUAUAGACGUUUGCCCAGUACUGUAGAUUACCACAGUAAUGUAGUGGUUAAUGCAACGCUAUUACCACUCAUGGCAUCAGAGUUCAGAGUUCAAUUCUGGUGCCGCCUGUAAGGAGUUUGUACGGUCUCCUUGUGCCAUGUGAGUUUCUUCCGGGUGCUCCGGUUUCCUCGCACAGACCAAAGACGUACCAGUUAGUAGGUUAAUUGGUCAUUGUAAAUUGUCCCGUGAUUAGGCUAGGGUUAAAUAGGUGUGUUGCUGGUUGGGCCAGAAGGGCCUAUUCUGCGCUGUAUCUCCAAAUAAAUAAAUAAAUUUCUCUGCCUUAUCGAUUGAAGUGUUUGUCCUUACUGUUGGCUUUUUAUCCCUUGCACAAAUGUUCUGAUGCAAAAUGCCUCUGAGCUUCUAUCCAGUGAAUCCCUCUCAUUAGAAAUUGCCCGAGGCGAAUACUCAGCCACACACUGUCCCUGAAUAAUGAGAUUAACGCCAUAUAGUGGCUUAUUACAUUUACUUCAGAGGCAGUCAGCUUGGCAGUAUGUCAGCACCUAUCAAGAAUCCGUUUGCAAACCCCAUAAUGAAUGCACUUAUUUCACUGCAUCAUUUGGACAUUUCUUUGCCCUUCCUCCAGGUAUUAACCCAGGGGAUAUUGGGGUGCAGUCACGUUCCUCGUGGCUUUGCCUUCAGUCCGACAAAUCAGAGUUCACCAUUAUUCAUUGGCGGAGGAUGCUGAAGAUUGGCUGCACAUUCAACCAUAACGUUCGGGUCCAGUGGCAUAAUUGUUAAGUUGCUCAGGCAAUACCUAGGUCAUUGAUCUGGAGAGUUCAGUUCAAAUUCCUCCAAAUCAGCUGGAAGCUUAGACUUAGACAACUGAAUAAAUCACAGAAUAAUAGUUUCCCACGGACUAGGUGUCUGCUCCGAGGCCAACACCUCAAUAUAUAUAUAGCUAGGGUGCCUAAGUCUUUUAAACAGUACUGUAUUUGUCAAAUGGAGUGCGAGUUCGUAAAUCUGGAGGGAGCAAAGGAUGCCAAGAUUGUUUUGCACUGGAAAUGGCAUUAAACAAUCUUGAAACGAUUGAUGCUGAGGAUGUAUAAGGCACUGGUUGGACGAGUUCUGUCAGUGUCCGUGACUUGCAGCUGCACUCAAACUUCAGUUCUUUACGGCGAUGGUUCCCAUUCCCAGGGCUCACUGACUGGCCGCUGCUUGAUACCCCCAGGAUACGGCCUGGAACGUGAGUACACCUUCCGGUUUCCGAGGCUCGCAGACCUGUGGAUGAGGCAUUUCUAAGUGAGUGGUGCCAACUGAAGCAUCGCAGGAGAAAACGGAAUAUCAGAAGCAGCAUAUCAUCUGUCGGAGUUCUCUACACUCAACGAAUCACUCUCUAUCUUUCCACUUGUGGGGGAGAGUUUGCUGCCGAUUCUCAAAUCAGAGAACUCAAAAACAGUUACGCGACAGACUUUAACACCGUAAUCAAUGAGUUGCUUUGUUUUUGUUGGUCUCCCUUCUUGCUGAGUGACACCUCUCUGCCCCUUCAUUAUGGAUGGAGAGAGCCAGCGGCAUGUCAAAUUGUUCAGCGAACAAUUAGUUUUUCUGUACUACAGAUCAUGACCUCCCUCGGGGGCUUUGCUUGCUGGGCGGUGGGUGCUGAUGCUUCCUGCUGAAAUAAGUGGGGAAGAAGAGGGGGAGGGUGAUGCUUUGUCGUUGCUUGUGUGUGGGAAGGGUGAGAAGUAUGGCUUAGGCGUCCCAACACGUUUACUGUCACAUUAUUUGGGGUACUCUUCUGUUUUCGUGGAUAGUCAUUUCAUGUUGAAGACCGAGAAUUUCAGGUUGUAAAC